AUCAUGUCAAGCUCCAGGGUGAGAUGGGACCUGCUGGUCUUCAAUCAGGGAUGAAGAGGAAGUUCCAAGUCACAGCAGUUCCACCCACGCCCUGCCCCUUGAAGUAAACCUCCGUACUUGGAGUCUGAGUAAUCUCUCAGAGGAAAAGACACGUGCUACAUAAUGAUGCUGGGACAGAGAUGGUCUACAGCACACAAUGACAGUCCCAUGAAAAUAUCAUCUGGUGACAUCAUAGGCAGCCUGAUUUGGAGCUUCUGACAUGGUUCAUUAGUGGAAUAUAACGGCAGUGAUUCUGCACAGCUCCCAGGCGAGACUUCGGAAGACCUCAUGACUAACACUGGUGCUCUCUUGGAACAAUGUGAGAGGCCUGAACUGUCCUCCUGAUGGACAGACUGACAGCUAAUUAUCAGCCACGGGAGUGACACCAACUUACACCAGCCUGGGUGCACACUGCCAAUGACUGAAGCCACCAGAGUGACGCAGAUAGACUGACUAGCUGAACUCAGACUGAAUAAAAUCUUCAGCAGGUGAAGAAUAGAUGGCCGAUGCAAGAUUGUGGUAUAAAUAUACAAUAAUAUAGGGAUAAAAUUUGGCUUA